rnacentral:rRNA from 1 species
AGCCAACUCUAGCCCCCCCCCCCCNNNNNNNNNNNNNNNNNNNNCCCCCCCCCCCCCCCCCCAUCAAACAUGUAAAAAUCUACUAGACACCUAAACUAAAACAUUCCUCUGACUUAGUAUAGGCGAUAGAAUAGUCACUAGGCGCGAUAGAGAUUCGUACCGUAAGGGAAAGAUGAAAUAGCAGUGAAUAAGCCAAGCAGCAAACAGCAAAGAUAGACCCUUGUACCUCUUGCAUCAUGAUCUAGCUAGAACAACCAAGCAAAGCGGACUUAAGCUUGCCACCCCGAAACCUAAGCGAGCUACUUGUAAGCAGCUACCCCUGAGCGAACCCGUCUCUGUUGCAAAAGAGUGGGAUGACUUACUAGUAGAGGUGAAAAGCCAAUCGAGCUGGGUGAUAGCUGGUUACCUGCGAAAUGAAUCUAAGUUCAACCUUGACAUCUCCUCCAGGAACCUUCAGCCACCCCAACGAAGAUAGUCAAGAGCAAUUUAAAGGGGGUACAGCCCCUUUAAAAAAGGAUACAACCUCCUCUAGCGGAUAACUAAUAACUCAUGCACAACAAUUGUGGGCCUUUAAGCAGCCACCAACAAAGAGUGCGUCAAAGCUCUACUUCCACAAAAAUCCUAGACCACCACGACUCCCUUCUCACUAUCAGGUUAAUCUAUACCCAUAGAAGAAUUAAUGCUAAAAUGAGUAACUAGGGGAACCCCCUCUAAAGCGCAAACUUACAUCCUCACAUUAUUAACAGACACCUAAUACACUAAUCUCAACAAGACCAUGUAUUUUACCCCCUGUUAACCCAACCCAGGAGCGCCUACUAGAAAGAUUUAAAUCUGUAAAAGGAACUAGGCAAAUAUCAAGGCCCGACUGUUUACCAAAAACAUAGCCUUCAGCCAGACCAAGUAUUGAAGGUGAUGCCUGCCCAGUGACUUCGUGUUCAACGGCCGCGGUAUCCUAACCGUGCGAAGGUAGCGCAAUCAAUUGUCCCAUAAAUCGAGACUUGUAUGAAUGGCUAAACGAGGUCUUAACUGUCUCUUACAGAUAAUCAGUGAAAUUGAUCUUCCUGUGCAAAAGCAGGAAUGAGCACAUAAGACGAGAAGACCCUGUGGAACUUAAAAAUCAGCAGCCACCUCAUAACAAAACCCACCCACCGGGCCCACCACCAACAAAGCGCUGGCUCGCAUUUUUCGGUUGGGGCGACCUUGGAGAAAAACAAAUCCUCCAAAAACAAGACCACUUCUUCUUAACCAAGAGCUACCCCUCAACGUACUAAUAGUAACCAGACCCAAUAUAAUUGACCAAUGGACCAAGCUACCCCAGGGAUAACAGCGCAAUCUCCUCCAAGAGCCCAUAUCGACGAGGAGGUUUACGACCUCGAUGUUGGAUCAGGACAUCCUAAUGGUGCAGCCGCUAUUAAGGGUUCGUUUGUUCAACGAUUAAUAGUCCUACGUGAUCUGAGUUCAGACCGGAGCAAUCCAGGUCGGUUUCUAUCUAUGUUGAACUUUUCCUAGUACGAAAGGACCGGAAAAGUAGGGCCAAUGCUUCAACGUACGCCCCCUCUCUAAGUAAUGACCACAACUAAAUUACAAAGAGAUCCCACACAACACCUAAUCCUAGAAAAGGAUC